rnacentral:tRNA from 1 species
GUUAAUGUAGCAAAUUCUGGUAUUGCAAAAGAUCUAAACCCUUUUUAAAGAGGUUCAAAUCCUCUCAUUAACU